GAUAUCAUUUUUCUAGGGGAAAUGCAUACAGAUAUAAUAUAUGUAUUAUAUAUAUAUAUGUGUGUGUGUGUGUGUGUGUGUGUAUGCACAUACACAAUAUAUGCAUGUAUAUGCA
rnacentral:miRNA from 12 species